UACGGAGGAUGCGAGCGUUAUCCGGAUUUAUUGGGUUUAAAGGGUGCGCAGGCGGGACGCCAAGUCAGCGGUCAAAAUUCGGGGCUCAACCCCGUCGUGCCGUUGAAACUGGUGUCCUUGAGUGGGCGAGAAGUAUGCGGAAUGCGUGGUGUAGCGGUGAAAUGCAUAGAUAUCACGCAGAACCCCGAUUGCGAAGGCAGCAUACCGGCAUCCUACUGACGCUGAAGCUCGAAAGUGUGGGUAUCGAACAGG
rnacentral:rRNA from 1 species